rnacentral:rRNA from 1 species
GACGAACGCUGGCGGCGUGCCUAAUACAUGCAAGUAGAACGCUGAAGGAGGAGCUUGCUUCUCUGGAUGAGUUGCGAACGGGUGAGUAACGCGUAGGUAACCUGCCUGGUAGCGGGGGAUAACUAUUGGAAACGAUAGCUAAUACCGCAUAAUAGCAGUUGCUGCAUGAUAACUGUUUGAAAGGUGCAAUUGCACCACUACCAGAUGGACCUGCGUUGUAUUAGCUAGUUGGUGGGGUAACGGCUCACCAAGGCGACGAUACAUAGCCGACCUGAGAGGGUGAUCGGCCACACUGGGACUGAGACACGGCCCAGACUCCUACGGGAGGCAGCAGUAGGGAAUCUUCGGCAAUAGACGGAAGUCUGACCGAGCAACGCCGCGUGAGUGAAGAAGGGUUUCGGAUCGUAAAGCUCUGUUGUAAGAGAAGAGCGAGUGUGAGAGUGGAAAGUUCACACUGUGACGGUAGCUUACCAGAAAGGGACGGCUAACUACGUG